rnacentral:rRNA from 1 species
GACGAACGCUGGCGGCGUGCUUAACACAUGCAAGUCGAACGGAAAGGCCCUGCUUUUGUGGGGUGCUCGAGUGGCGAACGGGUGAGUAACACGUGAGUAACCUGCCCUUGACUUUGGGAUAACUUCAGGAAACUGGGGCUAAUACCGGAUAGGAGCUCCUGCUGCAUGGUGGGGGUUGGAAAGUUUCGGCGGUUGGGGAUGGACGCGCGGCUUAUCAGCUUGUUGGUGGGGUAGUGGCUUACCAAGGCUUGGACGGGUAGCCGGCCUGAGAGGGUGAACGGGCACAUGGGGACUGCGGUACGGAGCAGACUGCUACGGGGGGCAGCAGUGGGGAAUAUUGCGCAAUGGGGGGGAGCGUGAUGAAGCGACGCCGCGUGCGGGAUGACGGCCUUCGGGUUGUAAACCGCUUUCGCCUGUGACGAAGCGUGAGUGACGGUAAUGGGUAAAGAAGCACCGGCUAACUACGUG